ACGAACGUUGGCGGCGUGGAUUAGGCAUGCAAGUCGUACGAGUUUCAUCUGGGUAACUGGCUGAAAAAAGUGGCGAAAGGGGCAGUAAGGCAUGGAUAAUCUACCCUUAUGACCGGGAUAGCUGUCCCAACGGGCAGGUAAUACCGGAUGAGCUGGUGGGGCCGCAUGGUUCUGCCAGGAAAGGCGCAAGCCGGGUCGGGAGGAAUCCAUGUGAUAUUAGCUAGUUGGUGAGGUAAAGGCUCACCAAGGCGAAGAUGUCUAGCGGGUGUGAGAGCACGACCAGCGCCAUUGGCACUGAGACACUGGCCAGACUCCUACGGGAGGCUGCAGUCGAGGAUCUUCGGCAAUGGGCGAAAGCCUGACCGAGCGACGCCGCGUGAGCGAUGAAGGCCAUUAGGUUGUAAAGCUCUGUCGAGGGGGAACAAGCCGCAAGGUUGAGUGAUCCCUGGAGGAAGCACGGGCUAAGUUCG
rnacentral:rRNA from 1 species